AUUGAACGCUGGCGGAAUGCUUUACACAUGCAAGUCGAACGGCAGCACGGGUGCUUGCACCUGGUGGCGAGUGGCGAACGGGUGAGUAAUGCGUCGGAACGUACCGAGUAAUGGGGGAUAACGCACCGAAAGGUGUGCUAAUACCGCAUACGCCCUCCGGGGGAAAGCAGGGGAUCGCAAGACCUUGCGUUAUUCGAGCGGCCGACGUCUGAUUAGCUAGUUGGUGGGGUAAAGGCCUACCAAGGCGACGAUCAGUAGCGGGUCUGAGAGGAUGAUCCGCCACACUGGGACUGAGACACGGCCCAGACUCCUACGGGAGGCAG
rnacentral:rRNA from 1 species